GCGCUAUAUCGUUGCGAUACUUGCGUGGUGCAUAGUUGCUAUGCUCCACAAUCCUGUCGGGAUAGUAAUACUUGGUGCCAUUUUGAUGCAGAUCCUGUGUGCCUGUUAGGACUCGAAAUGCCGUCGCCUGUCUGCCUCUUGAAUGAGCUCCACUUCCGAUUCCCUGAAGGGAAAUCUGGUAGGGAGCCAGCCCCUCGGCGGCUUCCUCCCCGCCCACAAUGCGAUUCUUGGUAUACUGGGGCGGAUAAAGGAUCUGACUUGUGGCACCCGAAGUGAACAGAACCAGUGGCACCCAAAUGAGCAACAUAAUGCCUGCUUGCUCUUUGAAUUACUGAAUUUCGUUGCCCCUUGGUAAAUGUUUCUUAUAGGAAUUAGGAAAUAGCACAGCCGUUGAUCGUGGAUAUAAUCCAGCUGUAGUAAAAGCUAAUGCGCGCGAAAACAUCGGGGAAUCCAUAGCCACAUGGAACACCCCAGUUACCAAUGCCCACCAAGCGUCCACGGCUG